rnacentral:misc_RNA from 1 species
GAUGAAGAACGUAGCAAAAUGCGAUAAGUAAUGUGAAUUGCAGAAUUCAGUGAAUCAUCGAAUCUUUGAACGCACAUUGCGCCCGCUGGUAUUCCGGCGGGCAUGCCUGUUCGAGCGUCAUUUCAACCCUCAAGCCCCCGGGUUUGGUGUUGGGGAUCGGCUCUGCCCUUCUGGGCGGUGCCGCCCCCGAAAUACAUUGGCGGUCUCGCUGCAGCCCCCAUUGCGUAGUAGCUAACACCUCGCAACUGGAACGCGGCGCGGCCAUGCCGUAAAACCCCAACUUCUGAAUGUUGACCUCGGAUCAGGUAGGAAUACCCGCUGAACUUAAGCAUAUCAAUAAGCGGAGGA